rnacentral:rRNA from 1 species
CGACCGGCCACAUUGGGACUGAGAUACGGCCCAGACUCCUACGGGAGGCAGCAGUGGGGAAUAUUGCACAAUGGGCGCAAGCCUGAUGCAGCGACGCCGCGUGAGGGAUGGAGGCCUUCGGGUUGUAAACCUCUUUUGUUUGGGAGCAAGCCUUCGGGCGAGUGUACCUUUCGAAUAAGCGCCGGCUAACUACGUGCCAGCAGCCGCGGUAAUACGUAGGGCGCAAGCGUUAUCCGGAUUUAUUGGGCGUAAAGGGCUCGUAGGCGGCUCGUCGCGUCCGGUGUGAAAGUCCAUCGCUUAACGGUGGAUCUGCGCCGGGUACGGGCGGGCUGGAGUGCGGUAGGGGAGACUGGAAUUCCCGGUGUAACGGUGGAAUGUGUAGAUAUCGGGAAGAACACCGAUGGCGAAGGCAGGUCUCUGGGCCGUCACUGACGCUGAGGAGCGAAAGCGUGGGGAGCGAACAGGAUUAGAUACCCUGGUAGUCCACGCCGUAAACGGUGGACGCUGGAUGUGGGGCACGUUCCACGUGUUCCGUGUCGGAGCUAACGCGUUAAGCGUCCCGCCUGGGGAGUACGGCCGCAAGGCUAAAACUCAAAGAAAUUGACGGGGGCCCGCACAAGCGGCGGAGCAUGCGGAUUAAUUCGAUGCAACGCGAAGAACCUUACCUGGGCUUGACAUGUUCCCGACGACGCCAGAGAUGGCGUUUCCCUUCGGGGCGGGUUCACAGGUGGUGCAUGGUCGUCGUCAGCUCGUGUCGUGAGAUGUUGGGUUAAGUCCCGCAACGAGCGCAACCCUCGCCCCGUGUUGCCAGCACGUUAUGGUGGGAACUCACGGGGGACCGCCGGGGUUAACUCGGAGGAAGGUGGGGAUGACGUCAGAUCAUCAUGCCCCUUACGUCCAGGGCUUCACGCAUGCUACAAUGGCCGGUACAGCGGGAUGCGACAUGGCGACAUGGAGCGGAUCCCUGAAAACCGGUCUCAGUUCGGAUCGGAGCCUGCAACCCGGCUCCGUGAAGGCGGAGUCGCUAGUAAUCGCGGAUCAGCAACGCCGCGGUGAACGCGUUCCCGGGCCUUGUACACACCGCCCGUCAAGUCAUGAAAGUGGGCAGCACCCGAAGCCGGUGGCCUAACCCCUUGUGGGAUGGAGCCGUCUAAGGUGAGGCUCGUGAUUGGGACUAAGUCGUAACAAGGUAGCCGUACCGGAAGGUGCGGCUG